UGAGGAAUUUUGCGCAAUGGGCGCAAUCCUGACGCAGCAACGCCGCGUGGGUGAAGAAGGCCUUCGGGUCGUAAAGCCCUGUCGGGUGGGAAGAAGGAUCUCAUCAGGAAAGGGGUGGGAUUUGACGGUACCACCAGAGGAAGCACCGGCUAACUCCGUGCCAGCAGCCGCGGUAAUACGGAGGGUGCGAGCGUUAUUCGGAAUUACUGGGCGUAAAGCGCGUGUAGGCGGGGAGGCAAGUCUGAUGUGAAAGCCCUGGGCUUAACCUGGGAAGUGCAUUGGAAACUGCUUUUCUUGAGUACUGGAGAGGAAGGGGGAAUGCCCGGUGUAGAGGUGAAAUUCGUAGAGAUCGGGAGGAAUACCAGUGGCGAAGGCGCCCUUCUGGACGGUUACUGACGCUGAGACGCGAAAGCGUGGGGAGCAAACAG
rnacentral:rRNA from 1 species